rnacentral:rRNA from 1 species
CCUACGUGUGGCAGCAGUGGGGAAUAUUGGACAAUGGGCGAAAGCCUGAUCCAGCCAUGCCGCGUGUGUGAAGAAGGCCUUCGGGUUGUAAAGCACUUUCAGUGGGGAAGAAAGCCUUGGGGCUAAUACCCUCGAGGAAGGACAUCACCCACAGAAGAAGCACCGGCUAACUCCGUGCCAGCAGCCGCGGUAAUACGGAGGGUGCGAGCGUUAAUCGGAAUUACUGGGCGUAAAGCGCGCGUAGGCGGUCUGAUAAGCCGGUUGUGAAAGCCCCGGGCUCAACCUGGGAACGGCAUCCGGAACUGUCAGGCUAGAGUGCAGGAGAGGAAGGUAGAAUUCCCGGUGUAGCGGGGAAAUGCGUAGAGAUCGGGAGGAAUACCAGUGGCGAAGGCGGCCUUCUGGACUGACACUGACGCUGAGGUGCGAAAGCGUGGGUAGCAAACAGGAUUAGAUACCCGAGUAGUC